rnacentral:rRNA from 1 species
UACAUGGGGUGCAAACGUUGCUCGGAAUUAUUGGGCGUAAAGCGCACGUAGGCGGUUCGUUAAGUCGGAUGUGAAAGCCCUCGGCUCAACUGAGGAAGUGCACCCGAAACUGGCGAGCUUGAGUACGAAAGAGGAUCGCGGAAUUCCCGGUGUAGAGGUGAAAUUCGUAGAUAUUGGGAGGAACACCAGUGGCGAAGGCGGCUCACUGGACCGGUACUGACGCUGAUGCGCGAAAGCGUGGGGAGCAAACGGG